rnacentral:rRNA from 1 species
GACGAACCGUGCGAACGUUGUUCGGAAUCACUGGGCUUAAAGGGCGCGUAGGCGGGCUGCCAAGUCUGUCGUGAAAUCCCACGGCUUAACCGUGGAACUGCGAUGGAUACUGGCGGUCUAGAGGGGGGUAGGGGCAUGCGGAACUGUGGGUGGAGCGGUGAAAUGCGUUGAUAUCCACAGGAACUCCGGUGGCGAAGGCGGCGUGCUGGACCUCUACUGACGCUGAGGCGCGAAAGCCAGGGGAGCAAACGGG